rnacentral:lncRNA from 1 species
AAAGAACAGCUGCAUCCCUACAGCAACUGCUGCAGUAUCACAACAGGUUACCAAAAGCAGUGUCAAUAAUUUUAUUCUUUGAAUGAGAUUAGUUAAACAAGUCGGCUUUCCAAUUCAAGAUAAUGGUUUCAAAAUUGAACACCAUUAGCAAAAUGCUAACAAAAUUAGGCUAUGCUUGGCUCCUCGGUGCUGUAAAUGGUGGCUUCAACUUAGUUUUU